rnacentral:lncRNA from 10 species
AACUUCUACUUUCUGCCCUGCAAAGAUUUCUGAGGCAAAGAAACACAAAGCCUGAUUACCCACUGAAAACCAAGAAAGGAGGUGAAACUACAAGGAGAAAAAGAGUUUAACCAAUUAACUUGCCAUUUAUGUAAAUUGUUUAGCACAAGGCACAAUACUUAACAAACAGGAACAAUUAUCAUUCCUGUGUGCCAGAAGCAGUCAACGCAAAAUAACACAUGGAUCCUGCCCUCAAUGACCUCACACUCUAGUGAGAAAGACAGACAAGAAAAGAGUUAUUCUCCUGACUUUCAAGCCAGAUAUGUACCACAACUGCAUUCUAGUUAACAAGAAGAGGUCAAGAUGAAGACUAUGACAAGUUGUUACAUCCCUAAGAAUAUAAUCUGAAAGCUGGACUUAUUACUUCCUCUACAGCUCAUUGGCCAGAAAUUAGUAACAUGUCCACACCAGGCAGCAAGUGGUGUGAGUAAUGCUAGUCUGUAACUAGGGAGCCAUGGGAUCAGCUAAAAUGUAGUAUAUUCUAGUAUUAAAAAGA